AGACUAAACUUACUGAGGUUCCUCUAUGUUCUAUUUGCUUUUGUAGUUAUCAAGUGGCUCCAGCCAGAACAAUAGAAGACGCCAUGGAGUGAUGCUUUUGGGGAACUCAAAAAUGAAGCGUUGCGGAACUCAUCCUCCAAAACGAAAGAGGAUGUUCAAGAUGAGGGCUGUUUGCUUCUCAUCUAUGUUACUGAUAGCCACUCUGCAAAGAAGUAUCGUGAACCAGAGUGACUCUGAAACUCCAAUGUAAAGGUCAUCAGAUUCUUUUGGGCUGUUCUGCUCAGAACUGAGGCAAGAAUUAGCAAGGAAAAGCUUCUCUGAUCCACGCCAGUCAAGUACAGAUGUGAGAGUUGGACCAUAAAGAAGGCUGAGUGUCGAAGAAUUGAUGUUUUCAAACUGUGGUACUGGAGAAAACUCUUGAGAGUCCAUUGGACAACAAGGAGAUCAAACCAGUCAAUCCUAAAGAAAAUCAACCCUAAAUAUUCUUUGGAAGCACUGUUGCUGAAGCUCGAAUACUUUGGGCGCCUGAUGUGAAGAGCUGACUCACUGGAAAAGAUCCUGAUGUUGGAAAAGAUUGAGAGCUUGAGGAGAAGGGGAUGACGGAGGAUGAGUGGAUGGCAUCAUCAACUCAAUGGACAUGAGUUUGAGCAAACUUUGGGAGAUACCAAAGGACAGGAAUGCCUGGUGUGCUUCAGUCCAUGGGGCUGCAAAGACAGGACUGAGCAACUGAACAACAAUCUUCUCUGACUCUCUUUUUGUGCAUCAAAGAAAUGUCUAUGAGAAUCAUUCAUCCAGAUACAUACAUAUUCCUUCAGCCCUACUCUACCUUACAUACUUUCAGUGAUAGAAAACUCAUGACCAUUUAAUUUUUAGAUAGGUCUGGUUGUUAAACAAUCCUUUCCUCUUUUGAAAAUGUAAAUUUUAUUUCUACUUAGCAUAUUUCCUGCAUACUGGAGCUCAUGUUGCUUUUCUUAACAGGCAGGAUAAAGCUAGUCCUUCCCAACUGUGUGUUGAGUAUUUGAAUUUAAUGCCUGCAUCUCCUUCUCUUCUUCGUGAGAAGCACCAGCAGAUUCCUUUAUUAUUUCUCAUAAGUUCUAAAGACUCUGACUACCCUGGAUAACCCCACACCAUCCACUGAACCCCUUAAGAGUC
rnacentral:lncRNA from 1 species